UACAGAGGGGGCGAGCGUUAAUCGGAAUUACUGGGCGUAAAGCGUGCGUAGACGGUAGCGUAAGUCGGGUGUGAAAGCCCCGGGCUCAACCUGGGAAUUGCAUUCGAGACUGCUCUGCUAGGGUGCGGAAGAGGGAAGCGGAAUUUCCGGUGUAGCGGUGAAAUGCGUAGAUAUCGGAAGGAACACCAGUGGCGAAAGCGGCUUCCUGGUCCAGCACCGACGUUCAGGCACGAAAGCGUGGGGAGCAAACAGG
rnacentral:rRNA from 1 species